rnacentral:rRNA from 1 species
AUGAACGCUGGCGGCGUGCUUAACACCUGCAAGUCGAACGAGAAGUGAAGACGGAAACCUUCGGGCGGAAGGCUUUAUUUCGAGUGGCGGACGGGUGAGUAACGCGUGGGUAACCUGCCUCAUACAGGGGGAUAACAGUUGGAAACGACUGUUAAUACCGCAUAAGACCACAGCACCGCAUGGUGCGGGGGUAAAAACUCCGGUGGUAUGAGAUGGACCCGCGUUCGAUUAGCCAGUUGGCGGGGUAACGGCCCACCAAAGCGACGAUCGAUAGCCGAUCUGAGAGGAUGACCGGCCACAUUGGGACUGAGACACGGCCCAAACUCCUACGGGAGGCAGCAGUGGGGAAUAUUGCACAAUGGGGGAAACCCUGAUGCAGCGACGCCGCGUGAGUGAAGAAGUAUUUCGGUAUGUAAAGCUCUAUCAGCAGGGAAGAAAAUGACGGUACCUGAGUAAGAAGCCCCGGCUAACUACGUG